rnacentral:rRNA from 1 species
AAGCGGUGGAGUAUGUGGUUUAAUUCGAUGCAACGCGAAGAACCUUACCUGGUCUUGACAUCCCGGAGACCCUUAGGAACUAGGGGUGCUUCCAUCUGGAAGAAUCUGGAGACAGGUGCUGCAUGGCUGUCGUCAGCUCGUGUCGUGAGAUGUUGGGUUAAGUCCCGCAACGAGCGCAACCCUUGCCUUUAGUUGCCAGCAGUUCGGCUGGGCACUCUAAAGGGACUGCCGGUGUUAAACCGGAGGAAGGUGGGGGAUGACGUCAAGUCCUCAUGGCCUUUAUGACCAGGGCUACACACGUACUACAAUGGCCGAUACAAAGGGCAGCGACACUGCGAGGUGAAGCCAAUCCCGUAAAAUCGGUCUCAGUCCGGAUUGGAGUCUGCAACUCGACUCCAUGAAGUUGGAAUCGCUAGUAAUCGUGGAUCAGCAUGCCACGGUGAAUACGUUCCCGGGCCUU